GCAGCAGCCGCGGUAAUACGUAGGGGGCGAGCGUUGUCCGGAUUUACUGGGCGUAAAGGGUGAGUAGGCGGUAAUAUGUGUCAGAUGUAAAAGGCUAUGGCUUAACUGUAGUUGGCAUUUGAAACUGUAUUACUUGAGUGCAGGAGAGGUAAGUGGAAUUCCUAGUGUAGCGGUGAAAUGCGUAGAUAUUAGGAGGAACACCAGUGGCGAAGGCGACUUACUGGACUGUAACUGACGCUGAGUCACGAAAGCGUGGGUAGCAAACAGGAUUAGAUACCCUGGUAGUCCACGCUGUAAACGAUGAGUGCUAGGUGUUGGCCAGCGAUGGUCAGUGCCGAAGUAAACACAAUAAGCACUCCGCCUGGGGAGUACGGUCGCAAGACUGAAACUCAAAGGAAUUGACGGGGGCCCGCACA
rnacentral:rRNA from 1 species